CUCGGAGUUUGAUCCUGGCUCAGUUUGAACGCUGGCGGAAUGCUUUACACAUGCAAGUCGAACGGUAGAGGGGGCAACCCCUUGAGAGUGGCGAACGGGUGAGUAAUAUAUCGGAACGUGCCUAGUCGUGGGGGAUAACGUAGUGAAAAUUACGCUAAUACCGCAUACGAUCUAAGGAUGAAAGCGGGGAUCGCAAGACCUCGCGCGAUUGGAGCGGCCGAUAUCAGAUUAGGUAGUUGGUGAGGUAAAGGCUCACCAAGCCAACGAUCUGUAGCUGGUCUGAGAGGACGACCAGCCACACUGGAACUGAGACACGGUCCAGACUCCUACGGGAGCAGCAGUGGGGAAUUUUGGACAAUGGGCGCAAGCCUGAUCCAGCCCAUGCCCGCGUGCAGGAUGACGGUCCUAUGGAUUGUAAACUGC
rnacentral:rRNA from 1 species